CGAGUAGGCGGAUAGAGAAGUCAGAUGUGAAAUCUCGGGGCUCAACCCCGAAACUGCGUCUGAAACUUUCUGUCUAGAAUAUCGGAGAGGGAAGGGGAAUUUCGCAUGUAGGAGUAAAAUCCGUAGAGAUGCGAAGGAACACCAGAGGCGAAGGCGCCUUCCUGGAAGAUGAUUGACGCUGAGGCGCGAAAGCGUGGGGAGCAAACA
rnacentral:rRNA from 1 species